rnacentral:misc_RNA from 1 species
UGAGUCUAUAUGCACAUAUUAUCAGAUCUUAUUGUGAUGAUAUCUCUCUAAUUGUCACUACCUCUGAGGCAAAACAAUCAGUUGAGCUAGGCUUUUGAAUUGAAUUUCCAUGUUGAUUUUGUAUUUUUGUGGCCUUCUGUUUAAGGUUAGGGUAAUUGCAAUCCUGCAGAUAUUCUAUGUUUUCCUGAGAACUUGCAUGUUUUCUCUCAAUCAAUGGCUUGAUGGUUUACUUAGGAUGCAAUUAAAUGCACGUAUUAUCAGAUGUAACGUGAUGAUAUGUGCAUUUAAUUGCAUCCUAAGUAAACCA